rnacentral:lncRNA from 1 species
GCUACCUACUAAGAAUCCUGCUGCAGGUCUGACACUCCUUGGUUUUAGUUCAAUCCAAAUUUAAUUUUUUCUUCUUUUUCCAGAAGUCCUGUUGGCACCAGAGUUUUCUUGCAUUUGGCCAUGGGCAGGGUUGCAGUAAAUGGUUUCCUUUCUCUUCAUUCUGGGACCCUGUGCCAGGGCAGAAGAUCAGGGAAUUCAUGGUAAAUGCAGUUUGUGUCUGCCUGCAGCCAGGCCUGUAACUGCAGAUCCAGGUUUGGGCACUGAUGGACCUACUUCCUAAGGAUGGCAUGAAAUUGCACCCCAGCUUCUGCCUGCUGAAGGAAAACUUGCCCCUGAAGCACCCAAAAUGCUGUUGUGUGCAGGUUAUCCAUCAGCUGGCAGGCACCAAGUCCCUGACCUGGAGAGGAGGAAGUGAGCCUUUGAAUGCAGUUCUCUACUUGGCAUGCCUGCUCAACUGAAGCUGCAGCUACAGGUGGCCCAUGAGUGGGGAGCAUGGAGCAGGUUCCUUCCAAGGAGAGGAAGAGAUUGGUGAGACUGCUGUCUAACUGGGACCAGAAGUUUUUACCAGAGUGGUACUUGGACUGACAUCUCAGUGGUAAAUGCAAAUAAAUUAGUUAAGUACGCCUGCAUGAAAUUUUCCUGCUGAAAAACUCAUUCUAUAAAAGCAUUUAUACUGUAUUCUUUAUUGUCAGCUAAUCCAGCCCAAACUCAUUAAAUGGCAGUGUGUGGGUUACUUGCUGUCAGUGAAAUUAUCAAAGGCAUUUUUCAGCUGAUGCACUGGGAAAGCAUGUGCUCCAAUGCCAACUAAAACAAUAACGAGGAAAUGUUAUGAUCAGACUUGACCAAAUGACCUUUCCCAUUUUAGAUUAGUUCUUAAUUUCAGCACAAGGGUCAUCCUGUGAGAAUAGUUACAAUAAGUCACUGCUCACCUCUCACAUGAAAAAGAAGUGACUUAUUAGAAAUCUCACUGUACUCAUUGCAGUUAAUGAGAUGUGGAAAGCUUUAUAAUUUGAUUUGCUGGACCAUAUGCUGUAAAGGGAUACUGCUGAUUUCAUUCCUCCACAUUUAAUUUAAGCAGUAUGCAAUGGCUUCUUCAUAUGGCUACUUAUAUAAUAAAAAUUAACUUGGAGUAUAAAAAAAAUAGACCAUUGUGGGGU